rnacentral:rRNA from 1 species
UACAGAGGUCCCGAGCGUUGUUCGGAUUUAUUGGGCGUAAAGGGUGCGUAGGCGGCGGAGUAAGUUGGGUGUGAAAUCCCGGGGCUUAACCUCGGAAUUGCAUUCAAUACUGCUUCGCUUGAGUACUGGAGAGGAGGCUGGAAUUUACGGUGUAGCAGUGAAAUGCGCAGAUAUCAGGAGGAACACCGGUGGCGAAGGCGGGUCUCUGGGCCGAUAUUGACGCUGAGGAGCGAAAGCGUGGGGAGCAAACAGG